CGGUAACAGGGGUAGCUUGCUACCCGCUGACGAGCGGCGGACGGGUGAGUAAUGCAUGGGUAUCUGCCCGGUAGUGGGGGAUAACUCGGGGAAACCCGAGCUAAUACCGCAUACGUCCUACGGGAGAAAGCAGGGGAUCUUCGGACCUUGCGCUAUCGGAUGAGCCCAUGUCGGAUUAGCUUGUUGGUGAGGUAACGGCUCACCAAGGCGACGAUCCGUAGCUGGUCUGAGAGGAUGAUCAGCCACACCGGGACUGAGACACGGCCCGGACUCCUACGGGAGGCAGCAGUGGGGAAUAUUGGACAAUGGGGGAAACCCUGAUCCAGCCAUGCCGCGUGUGUGAAGAAGGCCUUCGGGUUGUAAAGCACUUUCAGUGGGGAAGAAGGCAUGAUGAUUAAUACUCGUCAUGAAGGACAUCACCCACAGAAGAAGCACCGGCUAACUCCGUGCCAGCAGCCGCGGUAAUACGGAGGGUGCAAGCGUUAAUCGGAAUUACUGGGCGUAAAGGGCGCGUAGGCGGCUUGCCAAGCCGGAUGUGAAAGCCCCGGGCUCAACCCGGGAACGGCAUUCGGAACUGGUAGGCUAGAGUGCAGGAGAGGAAGGUGGAAUUCCCGGUGUAGCGGUGAAAUGCGUAGAGAUCGGGAGGAAUACCAGUGGCGAAGGCGGCCUUCUGGACUGACACUGACGCUGAGGCGCGAAAGCGUGGGUAGCAAACAGGAUUAGAUACCCUGGUAGUCCACGCCGUACACGAUGUCGACCAGCCGUUGGACCCCUUGAGGGUUUGGUGGCGCAGUUAACGCAAUAAGUCGACCGCCUGGGGAGUACGGCCGCAA
rnacentral:rRNA from 1 species